GCUGCGGGUGCAAGGAGAGGUCAGGCAGCGGCCCGGAAUGCUAAUGAGCGUUUGUUUCCGCGGAAAAACCGGGAAAGGGCCGCGGAAAAUGCCCGAAAAAUUCCAAAACGCCGCUUUUGGCCGCGCUCUGCCGGCCCGGGGAGCGGAGGGACAGGAGGUUUUAAUCGCAAUAAAGGAGCGCGGCGGCGAGGUGUAAAUGGCCGCGAGAAUCGCGAGAUUUCCAUGGAUUUCCAUGGAUUUCCAUGGAUUUAUUUGCUCAGCAAACAAAAACACCCGCGGGGAGGCGGCGGGGCCGCGUUUGGGGUCACGACAAAACCCCGCCAGCCGCUGGAGCUUCU